UGGUCGUACAAGAAGAACAGGGGGGCGAUCCCCACACAUCAAAACCCUAAAUCUUCACCAAACUUGCAAAUUGAAGGCUCAAUCCAAGUCAAAAUCGAAAAUCAAGCAUAGAUUAUUGAUCCCCAUGGCAAGAGGGUUGUAAGUUUGACUCUUGACAAGCUAGAUGGAGGCUUGGGAAUGAAGCGGGUCAAACGGAGCAAGUACGAAAAGGAAAGCGUAAUUUGGAUGCGAGGAGCGAAUAGUAAUUUGGAUAAUUGCGUCGCCAUAGAAUAUCGGUCAUAAAAGCAAGGUGUUGAAAAGGGUCACUAGGGUGACUCGAGCCAGGUGAAUGUCGAGGGUCCCGGAUGAAGAUCGAGCAUCGAGCAAGAACCGAACACACAUUAAAUAAAGCUUCCGCAACGUUGUUUUGUCGUUAUUCUAAACGGCGAUUUAAAUCACAUUAUGUAUAUCACUUAAAUUGUAAAAGUUUUUAACAAACCCGUAUUUCCGAUGUAUAUAUAAUCAUUAAUUACAUGAUUAUUUUCGCAAAAUAUACGUUAAGCCUUGAUUUAUAAGAACGGGUCUUACAAGUUGGUAUCAGAGCUCAAGGUUGUUGACAAAAUGUGUUCGGUUCGAGGCUUGAUCGCAAAUCCGGACACUCGCGUUGAAGACGACGAGAGUCAAACGAAUUGUGGAUACGAUGAUGGAACGAUCCGAAGUAUGACAAGAGGAGCAUGCUCACCGAGGACUAAAUCGCGUAAAGACCGCGAACAAGGUUAAUGGCAAGGAACGCCCGUCGGGGCAAACAUUACCAGGUGCACAUUUUAAAUAAUCGCACAAAUAGUAAUAUGCAACAAAUAAGUAGAAAUUGAAAGUUGCAUAUGUAGAUUAAAAACUUGAAAAAAAAAACCCGAAUAGAAAAUGUAUUCGGGAUAUUGUUUCCAAGAGAAACAAAUAGAGGCGUUAUUUACAUAGGGCGUGAUGUGAAAACUAUAAAAAGGUCAUGUGCGUCAUGUGUUAAUCGCUUACUCUGGCCAAGUAAGUAGUGGCAUAUGAUACCAUGAACUUCUUAUGGCGGACGCGUUUACAUUCGAUGUAGUAAGGUCGGGGUGAAUGGGACUAAUUAAAAAGUACCCAAAUGAAUCAGAUAAGCAAAAUAUUUGCUAAUAAUGUAAACGCACAACCGAGUGACGGAAGCGUAUUACAUCAGGAUAAUGAGCCCGAGUGAAGGGACAAAGAAGCAUGUAAAAUGAUUUAGACAAGUAUUGGGAGGAGUGUACUUACACUCGAACCCAGAAAACGCAAGCAUAUAAAAUGAUUAGACAAGUAUUGGGAGGGAGUGUACUUACACUCGAACCCAGAAAACGCAAGCAUGUAAAAUGAUUUAGACAAGUAUUGGGAGGGGGUGUACUUACACUCGAACCCAGAAAACGCAAGCAUGUAAAAUGAUUUAGACAAGUAUUGGGAGGGAGUGUACUUACACUCGAACCCAGAAAACGCAAGCAUGUAAAAUGAUUUAGACAAGUAUUGGGAGGGAGUGUACUUACACUCGAACCCAGAAAACGCAAACAUGUAAAAUGAUUUAGACAAUUAUUGGGAGGGAGUGUACUUACACUCGAACCCGGAAAAUGCAAAUAUGUCCCUUAACGGGUCGUUUUUGUAAAACGUCAAACUUAAAGACAAAGUCGGAAUAUAAAAAAAAUGAAGCGAGGUCUUAAUGCAUACCGGGAGGGUUGCAAUAAUAACAACUUCGGUAAAACACCCGGUUGAUGGGUAAGAAUUAAACGCAUGCGUAAACCAACAGACGUGAACGCGGGUUGAAAAAUCAAAGGACUUGGAUUACAAGUUAUGACUAUAAAAUCUCGUAUAUAGAAAUUGUGAGUAAAUAUGUUCAACUAUUCGAAGUCGAAUGGGUUGAAUAAAGAAUAAAGUUGAUUGUUUAUAAGUGAUGGAUUUCACAUUAAUAAGUCAAACAGGUUGAAUACAAUAUAACGCCGAAUGGCACAAAUGAGCGCUAGCCAGAUAAGAGUAGCGUUAAAUGCAAGAGAAUAAUGAGCCCGGUAAUGGGAUAUAACCAAAUAAGAAUAAAUUAUGGACUGUCAAUAUCCUGGUAGGGAUAAUUGACAAAAGUUAAAGAGAAGAUCCUAAAACUAAAACUUCGGUUUUAGUAAGAAAUAAUGUUUUUACAAACAUAGACUCUGAUAGGAAUUUAAAUAAUAAGUAUGAAAUAUACAAAUCUUGACACUGAUAGGUGCAAGACAAUAUAUUCGAAAAGUGAUAUUUUCGAAGAUGAAAAGGUUGAUAUAAAUUAAACAUGACGUGACAUGAUCACGGUCAAGAGGUACAAUGUGAAGAAGAAUCACAUUAUAACCAAGCGAGCGGUAAAAAGAAACCGGACUAAUAAGUCUAGUUAGUGAAACCGGUUAAGGUCAGUAAUUCAAGUUAAGAAAUUUGGUUUGCUUGUAAGUGGUAAAUUCGGUAUAACUGAACCGAAUAAAUAAAUUUGAAAAUAAAAAGAUUUGUUGCUAAAAGUGAAAUAUUUCACUAAAGACCUUUAAACGGGUCAAAGUAACGGGUUCAUAAAGAAAUCCGAUAGUAUAUGAAAGCAUUGAAUAUCGCUAAGUUGAUUAAACUAGUGGAAAUAACGAGAUUACGUUAUUUCAAGUCGCAUCAUGUCAUAUAAGAUACGUAGAUGAUUAAUAACCAAAAGGAUAUUACCAUACUUUUCUGGUAAUACUAACAAUCGGUUAAGAUAUGAGAAAUGCUUAAUUGAUUAUCGAGAGCAAAUGCAUGGAGUGGAACUCGAUAAAUUAAGUAAGAAAAGGUUUCGGGGACGAAACCUCUUUAAGGGGGGUAGACUUGUAACACCCCGAAAACGGGUUUGGUAAUUAAACCCCGUUAAUACUAAAGACGGGGAAAGUACCGUUAGUGGUAAAAGUAAACUGGCAAAUAUUAGGAAUUUAUUUAAUAAUCCUAAUAUUUAUUUGAAGUGAAUUAAAAGCUUUUAAGAAAUAAAGUGAUAGAAGGCCCGAGUUAACGGGACCCGAAAUAAAGUUAGUCAUAAAUAUUCUCGAACCCGCAAAGUUAACUAGGAAUAUUAAAUCUAGUUAAUAAGUGGGGAAUAUUGUUAGAAAUAAGUAGGUUGUGCCCUACUUAAUUAACUAACCAAAUUAGAGGGGCCAAUAUUGUUAAAAUUGAAACUUAACUUUAAUCAAUUAAAUAAAACACACCAAACACCCCACAAGGAGGUGUCUGGUCGUACAAGAAGAACAGGGGGGCGAUCCCCACACAUCAAAACCCUAAAUCUUCACCAAACUUGCAAAUUGAAGGCUCAAUCCAAGUCAAAAUCGAAAAUCAAGCAUAGAUUAUUGAUCCCCAUGGCAAGAGGGUUGUAAGUUUGACUCUUGACAAGCUAGAUGGAGGCUUGGGAAUGAAGCGGGUCAAACGGAGCAAGUACGAAAAGGAAAGCGUAAUUUGGAUGCGAGGAGCGAAUAGUAAUUUGGAUAAUUGCGUCGCCAUAGAAUAUCGGUCAUAAAAGCAAGGUGUUGAAAAGGGUCACUAGGGUGACUCGAGCCAGGUGAAUGUCGAGGGUCCCGGAUGAAGAUCGAGCAUCAAGCAAGAACCGAACACACAUUAAAUAAAGCUUCCGCAACGUUGUUUUGUCGUUAUUCUAAACGGUGAUUUAAAUCACAUUAUGUAUAUCACUUAAAUUGUAAAAGUUUUUAACAAACCCGUAUUUCCGAUGUAUAUAUAAUCAUUAAUUACAUGAUUAUU
rnacentral:lncRNA from 1 species